rnacentral:rRNA from 1 species
GAAAGCGUGGGGAGCAAAUAGGAUUAGAUACCCUAGUAGUCCACGCCGUAAACGAUGAGUACUAAGUGUUGGGGUUUCCCAGUGCUGAAGCUAACGUAUUAAGUACUCCGCCUGAGUAGUACGGUCGCAAGGCUGAAACUUAAAGGAAUUGACGGGCACCCGCACAAGCGGUGGAGCAUGCUGUUUAAUUCGAAGAUACGCGAAGAACCUUACCUGGGCUUGACAUCCCAAUGAAAGUUUUUGGAAACAUUAACCCUUCCCUUCGGGGAACAUUGGUGACAGGUGGUGCAUGGUUGUCGUCAGCUCGUGUCGUGAGAUGUUCGGUUAAGUCCGAUAACGAGCGCAACCCUUAUCCUUAAUUGCUAACAUUCAGUUGAGAACCUUAAGGAUACUGCCGGUGACAAACCGGAGGAAGGUGGGGAUGACGUCAAAUCAUCAUGCCCCUUACGUCCAGGGCUACAGGCGUGCUACAAUGGCAGGUAUAAUGAGUCGCAAUACCGCGAGGUGGAGCUAAUCUCCAAAGCCUGUCCCAGUCCGGAUUGGAGUCUGCAACUCGACUCCAUGAAGUUGGAAUCGCUAGUAAUCCCGAAUCAGAAUGUCGGGGUGAAUACGUUCCCGGGUGUUGUACACACCGCCCGUCACGCCAUGGGAGUCGGUAAUACCCGAAGCUGGUAGCCUAACCUUUUAGGAGGGGGCCAUCUAAGGUAGGAUCGGCGACUGGGGUGAAGUCGUAACAAGGUAUCCCUACCGGAAGGUGGGGAUG